CACAAGAAGCAAUAAUGUGGCUCCAUUACUGCCAUGUGUCAUAUUGGCCUGUAACCUUCAGAGAUCUGCAUUGCUACAUUAAAGCCAUAGAAAAUCAAGUCAAUAUAGCAGUAAUCAAAUGUCAUUACUGCUGUUUUAACUUUUUAUGGAGACCUUUGAACACUAAGUUAAGCAAUGUGGCUGUACUCUGAUAGACCAAAUGGGUGUGUGUGUGUGUGAUCUUGAAAAGAUACAGCUUUACAUGAAGAGUAAAAGGACCACAUCACAGGAAAUGGAACAUCAGAAAAGGAACCAGUGGAGAAGAACUACAUUGAAGAUUAUUUCGAUUUUGACAACAGCAAGAUUGUUCCUGAACAGAAGAAACAAGGAAACAGAGAUGGCUAGGUGGUGGAAAUGCUGAAAGAAAAUGUCACAGAGGGGAUGAAUAAUAUAAAGGUUUGAUUCAUGCAGAAUUCAUCCAAGUUACCAAACAGAUGGAUUUGGCCUGACGAAAGCGGUUUGACAGACUACUGUAUAUAAUCACUGAAGAGCAGAUUGUAAAAAAAACUUGUUGAACCCACCACACUAGUUUUGGGGAGCAGGGUCUACUAUGACUUCGUAGAUCAGCUCUACACUAAUGAAUUAGAAAUUUAGUUAUGUGCAGGCUGAGUAAGUGCUAAGUUGUUAAGAGUUUCAAAAACAACAACUAAUUACCACAAAAUCAAAUGUCACUUUUUUGGAUCAUAUUUGUAUUUACCUGUUGUGGCUUAUUCGGUAUU